AUCCUGGCUUAGGAUAAACGCUGGCGGCGCACAUAAGACAUGCAAGUCGAACGGAAGUCGUUAAAAACGGAUUGAAGAUUUCUCGGAUUGAAGUUUUAACAAUGGCUUUAGUGGCGGACUGGUGAGUAACACGUAAGCAACCUGCCUAUUAGAGGGGAAUAACAGUAAGAAAUCAUUGCUAAUACCGCAUAAGCUGAUAAUAUCGCAUGAUAUAGUCAGAAAAGGAGUAAUCCGCUAAUAGAUGGGCUUGCGGCUGAUUAGCUAGUUGGUGGGGCAACGGCCUACCAAGGCGACGAUCAGUAGCUGAGUUGAGAGACUCUACGGCCACAUUGGGACUGAGAUACGGCCCAGACUCCUACGGGAGGCAGCAGUCGGGAAUAUUGCGCAAUGGAGGAAACUCUGACGCAGUGACGCCGCGUAUAGGAUGAAGGUUUUCGGAUUGUAAACUAUUGUCGUUAGGGAAGAAAUUUGACAGUACCUAAGGAGGAAGCUCCGGCUAACUAUGUGCCAGCCGCCGC
rnacentral:rRNA from 1 species